UGUGUGUGUGUGUGUGUGUAUAAAACUGUGUGUGUAUAUAUACAUAUACAUAUAUGUGUAUACACACACACACACACAUU